rnacentral:rRNA from 1 species
AUUGAACGCUGGCGGCAUGCCUUACACAUGCAAGUCGAACGGCAGCACGGGAGCAAUCCUGGUGGCGAGUGGCGAACGGGUGAGUAAUAUAUCGGAACGUGCCCAGUCGUGGGGGAUAACGUAGCGAAAGCUACGCUAAUACCGCAUACGAUCUAUGGAUGAAAGCGGGGGAUCGCAAGACCUCGCGCGAUUGGAGCGGCCGAUAUCAGAUUAGGUAGUUGGUGAGGUAAAGGCUCGCCAAGCCGACGAUCUGUAGCUGGUCUGAGAGGACGACCAGCCACACUGGGACUGAGACACGGCCCAGACUCCUACGGGAGGCAGCAGU